GGGGAUGUGGCUCUGGAUCAGUGGUAGAGCGUCUGCUUUGAAUGCAGAAGAUCCCAGGUUCAGUCCCUGGCAUUUCCA